UCCCGCCACACCUCCCUGCAAGCUGAGGGAGCCGGCUCCUGCCUUGGCCAGGCUAGAAAGGGGCUCCCACAGUGCAGGGGCGGGCUGAAGGGCUCCUCAAGUGCCACCAAAGUGGGAGCCCAGGCAGAGGAGGUGCCGAGAGCGAGCGAGGGCUGCGAGGACUGCCAGCAGCUGUCACCUCUCGUUACCAUCACUCCUAGUGACCAUUUCGGAUAAUCCACCUUGCCUCAUCAAACCAGAAAACAAUUCAAACCUGGCCUCCUUCUAACUGGAAGCCACAUUUUAAGAACUUAUUGUGAAGAACUGGAAAGCCUCCAAUAGAAGCUAAAAGCAGAAAUUAUAAAAGCUGUUACACCUACUCAGCUCUAUUACAUGUUGGAAAAACUGAACCAGAGAAACAAUUACAUACACUCUUGUCUUCUGGAAAAGCUGAAUUGGGUUUUGGUCUGAAUCAAUAGGACCCAUUAUACAGGCUGCCUUUCCAGCUCUCCAAUCAUACUUCCAAGAAAACUGCUCACUCUCAGAACCAAGGUUCAAGUUGUACAUUGGGAUUUGGGUAGAGGCUAUAUAUACAGUGAUGCCCAUCUACCCCUGAGAUCUAAAAAUCUAAGAUGAAAACGAGCACACAGUCUUGGCAGCAUUGGGGUAACAGACUAUGAAAGAAGAAAUCAGAUUGGAAAAUUCAGUAUAUCAAUGAAGAAAAUAAUCACUCAAGGAGAGGAAUAAACAGCAAAACAAUCUAUAUAUUUAAUUAUAGAUACAAUUGUUUCAAUGCUGAUUAUUCAUCCUUAUAUAACUGUCUACAGCUAUUUAGGGUUGUCUUCAUCCAUUUUGUGUUGCCAUUGCAGAAUACGUGAAACUGGGUAAUUUGUAAAGAAAAGAGAUUUUUUAACUUAUGGGUUCUGCAGGAUGGGAAGUUCAAGAAACAUGACACCAGCAUCUGCUUGGUUUCUGUUGAGGACUUUCAUGCUUAUAUCACAACAUGGCAGAAGGUUAAAGGGGGAGUAGACAUGUGCAAAUAGGCAAAACCUGAGGGGCAUCUUGGCUUUAUAACAACCCACUCUUGGAGGACUAAUUCAUUCUUGAGAGAACUAAUCUGGUCUUGCCAGAGAAAAAAUUCACUCACUGCCUACUGUGAGAAUAGCACUAAGCCAUCCAUGAGAGUGGAGCCCCAUCACUCAAACACCUCCCAUUAGGCUCUACAGCUUACAGAUUAUACCUCCUAACAUUGCCACAGUGGGAAACAAAUUUCAAGAUGAGAUUUGGUGGGGACAGACCAUAUCUAAACAAAGAGUAAACAAGGGUAAACAACUUUUGAGAACAUACUUGUGAUCCUUUAUUUCAACCCAGAAUGAUGCCAGAAUUUUGGAGAUGGGGCUCAGAGCAAAUCAGUAAGUUACAAUUCUCAAGUUUCACAGGGAAGUGGGAGUGAGAGACACAUCAUGGAGGACCACGCGACUCUCAGUUACACUGGGUGAAUUGUCUUCAUUGAAUUCCCGCACCAUGCAGACUCAUUUAACGGUAGUUCUUCCAAAGCUGCUUUUCUGCUUUGCUUUUGGAAUACUACUUUAUCUAAAUUUUCAUCUACCCUUUCAAUUCCUAUGCUUCUUGUGUUGAUUUCUCUUUUCCGACUUCUCAGAUUUUUAAUCUCAUUUUUAAACAUGAGAAUUCUCUGAGGUCUAUUUCUUGACCCUUUGUCCUCUUUUUAACUAUCCCUUGGGAAACUUGCACAAUCUAAAUGACUAACUAGAACUUAUGAGAUUAUGAGCCAGAUCUCUCCCUGCUUAUGAGCCCAUUUCAAUUAGAUGUCUCAGCAUCAUUGUAAGUUAAAAUGCAUAAAAUCCAAAACAAUAAAUUUUUCUCAAACCAAUGUUAUAUCUGAAAUGGUUAUUUCAAUGACUUUAAUGACUUUCAAUAACUUCAAUGACCUUAGCUUCUUUCUGUUCUUUCCACAAGCUAGUGCUUUAAUUUUUUAAGAAUAAACUUAACAGAUGAAAUGAUAAAGACAUAAUUUUUAUGUUGUGUUAUACUCUUGAUGGAAAUAUUUCCAAAUCUUUUGAAUGAAGAGCUUUGAAGAAAAACCUG
rnacentral:lncRNA from 10 species